rnacentral:sRNA from 1 species
CUUCAUUUGUUUCUACCAGAUUGCCACCCUAGUAAAUAUUCUUUAUUUAUGCUGGUAAAAAAUUGCCAUCCAAAUAAGAUGAUUCAUGAUACUGGUAUUCCUGCUGAGUGUCAAAGUGGCCAGAAAACAGUUAAACCAAAAUGGCGCAACGUUACUCAGGAAAAGUCUGGUUGGGUUGAAUGCUGGACUGUCCCAAGUGUCAUGCUUACAAUUGAUUAUACAUGGCAUCCAAUUUAUCCACAAAAAGCAGAUGAACAGCUAAAACAAUCAUUAUCAGAAAUGGAAGAGACAAUGCUAUCUGUAUUAAGGCCAUCCCAGAAGACAUCAGACAGAGUUGUUUCUUCUCCCUCUACUUCUUCACGCCCACCUAUUGAUCCCUCAGAACUUCCACCUGAUAAACUUCAUGUAGAAAUGGAACUUUCUCCAGAUUCUCAGAUAACUCUCUAUGGACCUCUACUAAAUGCCUUUUUGUGUAUAAAGGAAAACUACUUUGGGGAAGAUGACAUGUAUAUGGAUUUUGAAGAGGUUAUCUCAAGUCCUGUUUUGUCACUGUCAACAUCAUCCAGCUCUGGGUGGACUGCUGUUGGAAUGGAAAAUGACAAAAAGGAAAAUGAAGGUUCAGCCAAGUCAAUUCAUCCACUUGCCUUGCGUCCUUGGGAUAUUACUGUACUUGUUAAUUUGUACAAAGUUCAUGGGCGUCUUCCUGUUCAUGGAACUACUGAUGGUCCUGAAUGCCCUACAGCUUUCUUGGAAAGACUAUGUUUUGAAAUGAAAAAAGGAUUUAGGGAGACCAUGCUGCAACUUAUCCUGUCACCCCUGAAUGUGUUUGUCAGUGAUAACUAUCAGCAGCGACCCCCUGUGGAUGAAGUACUCAGGGAAGGUCACAUCAAUUUGUCAGGUCUCCAGCUGAGAGCACACGCUAUGUUCUCAGCAGAAGGUCUUCCUUUGGGAAGCGAUUCCUUAGAAUACGCAUGGCUAAUUGAUGUGCAGGCUGGAAGUCUUACAGCUAAGGUCACAGCACCACAGGUAUGGUUUUCAGAGUACUAUCUCCUGACUUAUUUUCUUUUUCCUUUCUCUACCCACCUUCUCAAGAAUAACUUGUAUGCCUGUUUGAAUGUUCAUUGCAUUUCCACUAAUGGCAUUCUGAUGGAAGUCAUUCUUGCCAUUCAGAAUUUUAGUUAUAGGUGAGUCAGAGACAAGUUUCACUUUUCUGAGCCACAUAUAAUUUGUUGGGUGUAAUGUGUGUAGAUCUAUAUAAUAUUUCAAAGAAUUUGAGACUUUCUUUGGGAAAAAUUCAGGAUGAGUACUUUUCUAGAAGUCAUUAAUAUAUUAUUAAAAUUAUAUUACUUGUCCCUCCAUUGUUGGAAAAAUCUUAUUUUUCUACUAUAUGGAGUAAUUUUCUAAGAACUUUGUUUUCUUACAUAUGUUUAAAGUAGGAUUUGAAAGUAGCCCUUAUGAUGCUAAGGAUUAGGUAAUAAGGUUCUUUGCUUGUCAUGUCCCAAAGCAAGAUUACAUCAUUUGUACCUGCUGUUAGUGAUGUGGAUAAUAGUUUCAAAAAAUAAAAGUGAGUUUACUGGUAUGUAAGUCUGGUCUAGAAUUCUAGGUGUGAUCCUUUUGGAUAAAUUCUCCCCCACCACCCCUUUCACUUAAUCCUUAGAAGGCACAAAAGCCUUAAUAUGUUAUUUGUUUCUAAUUGGCCACUAAAGUUUAGUUGAAUUGCCGUAUUAUUGUAACAUUUCACCUGAGUCAUAUAUUUAUUACAAUAUGAAUGCUCAUCUUUAUAUUUCAAAAGACUGGAAUUUGAUAGGAAUGUUACAUACUCAAUUUUGAUAAAAACUUAUAGAAUGGGUAUAAAACAUAUAAUUUAGAGGUAGGUAGUAGCAACAAGAAAGUAAUAAAGAACCUAGAUGCCCUUUAUACCUGGAAGAAAUCGUCAAAGGGUAGCAAAAAUUAAUAUUCUAGAAAUGGUGAGAAAAUGAAUAGAAUUGAAAAGGGAUAUUUUGGAGUUGAAUGUCAUCUCAAUAUAAUAUUAGAAUGUAUAAUGAUAUUUAUAAAAAUAUGUGAAAAGAAAUGCAUAAUGGAAUGUAUAAAAAUGGAUGAAAAGCAAUAGUCAUUGCUCACUGGCCUUGUAACUGUCCUCUCCUUAUUAUCUCCCAUUUCCCAUCCCUAAGUAUACAAGUAAAAACUGAAGCAUAUUCCAAAGCAGCUUGUUCCCUAAGAAGGGAAUAAAGCCAUGCUGACCCUGCAAGACUGGGUACAAUUCCUUUAUUCUAAGAACUGCUAGAAUCUUACAUGUUUAUAAAUUGCCUUUAUAAGGUAAAACAUUUCUCUUUCUCCUGCAUAAAAUCUUGGCAUCACUGUUUGCUGCACAGUUCAUGAAUCUGUAGGCACUUUUAUGUUUAUUCCAUUCUCUGUAUGUUUUAAAAGUAAAAUUUAUAUUUUCCAAGAGUUUAAAUUAUGUACUUAUUUGGGGGGAUAAUGUCAUGUGUAUCUAUCCCUCAAUGUUUUUAACAGCUCUAAUCAAUUAGGGUUUUUUGUUUUUUUUUUUAAACUGAAGAUUUGAAGAAUUAUGAUAUAUGCUUACUUAAGCUUCUAUUUACAUAAACAAAAGUGCUUUAAUCUUCAAAAUACCUGGUUUUAAAAAAAUCGUAGCUCAAUGUGAUAUUUAGAUACUUUUUCACAUAAAAGUUUGGUUUAUGAUUGGAGAAUUUUAGGUGCUUUUCUAUGUGGAGAUUUCAGUUAGCUAUAUAAGAGGGAAGAUAUAUAACCUUGAAUAAAAGGAUUUGCGUUAAAAGUUGCUGAAGUGAAAUUUUUCAGUUGAAAUGAGUUUUCAUUUUGACAGUGCAUUUUGUCAUUCAUAAAGGAAAAGUAACGUAAGCAUAUAAAUGAUAUUAAAGGUAGAAAAAAAUCAUUGGCUAACAAGUUGCUUAUUUAGCAGAAGUUUUAAGACAGUGUUUGGGUUCUUUCAAGCUACGUUAACAUUCUUCAGAAGCUUUUGAACUCUAAACACUUGUUUAGAAUGCUAACAGUGUUGUCAACUUGUCACUGAUUAUCUGUAGCUGGCAUGCCUCUUGGAGUGGGGACAGACAUUUGUUUUUCAUGUGGUAUGUCGGGAGUAUGAACUGGAAAGACCAAAAUCAGUAAUAAUAUGUCAGCAUGGAAUUGAUCGUCGGUUCUGUGAAUCCAAGGUAUGUUAACAAAUAUGUUAGCAAUAUUGUAAACAUUUAUAAAUUUAAAAAAAUGGAAUAUUGAGAUAUCAGCUUCAAGUCAAAUACACAUAGCCAUGCAGCAAACUACAGUUUUUUCAGUUAAUAAAAUUAUUUUUAAAAUUCUUAGCCAUUUUAGUUUUAGGUAUCUAAAAUAUGAGAUAAUUAUUAAAACAUACAAAUUAAAAAAUAAACAGAAUUAUAAAAAUUAUAUUUUGCUUACAUUUUUACUGUUAACAUUCAUGUCAUAUUGCAUUAUUAUACUUGUUGGGAUGUGGCUAUAUAUUUAUAUAGAAGAUUUAGAAAUUGAAGCAAAGAGAAGGUUGAAUUCUUCACAUGAUAUGGUUUGCAGACCACUCUGGACAUGGCAAGGUUGGUCAUUUGCCAGGUUUCCUGACUCCGCAUGUUAUGCUCUUUUCACAACAUUGUGCCACCUUCAUUAAGGGUCAUUACAAUAUCUUCACAAGGGUUGCAAAAAGUAGAUGGUAAUCCCUAAAACCAUGUGCAGUGGCAAUGAAAUGCAUAGUAUUAUUGUGCAAUAAAUACUCUCCCUUAUGAAUUUGGGGAGGGAGGCAUUUUCUUCCCCUGAUUUUGGAAGCAUGGUUAUUUCAGAAAAUCUGGAAAGCAUGGCUGUUUCAAAAAAGAAAAAUAACUUACCCUGGUUCUACAACACAGUGGUUAACAGCUUAGUUUUUCUUUCUAGUUCUUUCCUAUAUGUGUCUUUCCUUUUUUGUUCUUCUACUAUACAAAUUAUAUUUGUUUGCUGUUGUAUUACUGUGAAUUGAAAUUAGUUCAUCCUACUUUUAUGUCCAAAAAAAAACCUGUAACGCAUCCUUAUAUAUUGACAAUAAAGGAAACAGUUAUACUUGGUGAU